CUACGGGGGGCAGCAGUGGGGAAUAUUGGACAAUGGGGGCAACCCUGAUCCAGCCAUGCCGCGUGUGUGAAGAAGGCCUUUUGGUUGUAAAGCACUUUAAGCAGUGAAGAAGACCUAACGGUUAAUACCCGUUAGCGAUGACAUUAGCUGCAGAAUAAGCACCGGCUAACUCUGUGCCAGCAGCCGCGGUAAUACAGAGGGUGCAAGCGUUAAUCGGAAUUACUGGGCGUAAAGCGAGCGUAGGUGGCUUGAUAAGUCAGAUGUGAAAUCCCCGGGCUUAACCUGGGAACUGCAUCUGAUACUGUUAAGCUAGAGUAGGUGAGAGGGAAGUAGAAUUCCAGGUGUAGCGGUGAAAUGCGUAGAGAUCUGGAGGAAUACCGAUGGCAAAGGCAGCUUCCUGGCAUCAUACUGACACUGAGGCUCGAAAGCGUGGGUAGCAAACAGGAUUAGAUACCCCGGUAGUC
rnacentral:rRNA from 1 species